UACGUAGGGAGCAAGCGUUGUCCGGAAUCAUUGGGCGUAAAGCGCGCGUAGGUGGCUUCGUAAGUCCGUUGUGAAAGUCAAAGGCUCAACCUUUGAAAGCCGAUGGAUACUGCGGAGCUAGAGUACGGAAGAGGUGAGUGGAAUUCCUGGCGUAGCGGUGGAAUGCGCAGAUAUCAGGAGGAACACCAAUAGCGAAGGCAGCUCGCUGGGACGUUACUGACACUGAGGCGCGAAAGCGUGGGGAGCGAACAGG
rnacentral:rRNA from 1 species